GAAAAUGUAUUAGAUAUCUCCAGCACCAGUAAAUUUUCUUGUUUAUCGCAUAAAUUGUCAUAAUUAAGAUUGAUUCCUAAAGUUUCUUGCCCAUAAGGAGGUGGAGAUUCAUAAUGAUAUAAAACGCCACUACGGAUAUACAAUCAGAAAACAAAGCCAUCAUCACCUAAGCUCAGUUAUUCACCUAGAUUUUGAAAACUAAUCAUCCUUCCAAUAAAUGCACAAACACACUCAGACCAUAUUGCAGGAUAAAAGUAAUGGCCACAUUAAUAGACACCUGCCAAUAUCGUAUCGCAGGAUAAAACAGCCAAUAUCGUAUCGCAGGAUAAAACAGCCAAUAUAUAUUCAUCUUCACUCCUUAGUAAUAUGUUAUCAUUUCUUUCUUCUGGGUCUUCCAUAUUUAUGACCUAUUUGUUUUUUAAGUGAGCUUGCUUGUGAGAGUUU
rnacentral:misc_RNA from 1 species